ACGCUGGCGGCAUGCUUUACACAUGCAAGUCGAACGGCAGCGCGGGGCAACCUGGCGGCGAGUGGCGAACGGGUGAGUAAUGUAUCGGAACGUACCCAAGAGUGGGGGAUAACGUAGCGAAAGUUACGCUAAUACCGCAUACGAUCUAAGGAUGAAAGCAGGGGAUCUUCGGACCUUGUGCUCCUGGAGCGGCCGAUAUCUGAUUAGCUAGUUGGUGAGGUAAAGGCUCACCAAGGCUACGAUCAGUAGCUGGUCUGAGAGGACGACCAGCCACACUGGAACUGAGACACGGUCCAGACUCCUACGGGAGGCAGCAGUGGGGAAUUUUGGACAAUGGGCGAAAGCCUGAUCCAGCAAUGCCGCGUGAGUGAAGAAGGCCUUCGGGUUGUAAAGCUCUUUUGUCAGGGAAGAAACGGUGAAGGCUAAUAUCCUUCGCUAAUGACGGUACCUGAAGAAUAAGCACCGGCUAACUACGUGCCAGCAGCCGCGGUAAUACGUAGGGUGCAAGCGUUAAUCGGAAUUACUGGGCGUAAAGCGUGCGCAGGCGGUUUUGUAAGUCUGACGUGAAAUCCCCGGGCUCAACCUGGGAAUUGCGUUGGAGACUGCAAGGCUAGAAUCUGGCAGAGGGGGGUAGAAUUCCACGUGUAGCAGUGAAAUGCGUAGAGAUGUGGAGGAACACCGAUGGCGAAGGCGGCCCCCUGGGUCAAGAUUGACGCUCAUGCACGAAAGCGUGGGGAGCAAAC
rnacentral:rRNA from 1 species